AUACACUGAAAUUUUUUUAUAGCCCAGCUACACAAAAUUGUAUUAUAUAAAUGCAGUUGGCUGCUCUCAGUAUGUUUGGAUGGGUAACUGAAAUGUACAGAUAUAUACACUAAAAAGGUUGCAACUUGCAAGGUGGAGUGAUACAAAGAUGGUAACAAAUAUUCAAAAGGUUAUUUAUAGGGAAAAACUCACCAAUAUGGAUGCUUUCACUGGGAAAUGCUGAGGCAAUCUCUACCAGGAAGCAGUUUCCAAGAGAUGCUGCCUUAGUGGUGGUCAGCCCUUAAAUGAGGUCUAGAGGGGGUGGAGUCAAGCUCCAACCCUUCUGGGAGCACAGCUAGAUUACUGUCACCUGUGCUCCCACAGCAGAUUUUAUAUUUGCCUCAGCUGAUUAAUCAGAGGUUCAGUUCAGGCUGUGAUUACCAAUUUCUCAUACAGAGCUGAACACAGUUUUGCAGAAGUGCAUGAUCUGCUGUACAAAACUGAGAAGGGACCUGCUAGACUUCUGAACUCUGAUGAUGAUUACCGAACAGUGUACCCAAAUCAAAAUAUCCUAGGUUCCAGUCCAUCUCAUACAUGACAGAAGUUGUGGGUGCAGACUAUAAAGCACAAGCAGCACUAAGGAGGAGAAACUGGGUUGUUUGAACUAAGGAAUCCUAUCUGUACUGGAGCCUGGUCUCCUCCGUGAACACCAAGUUUUGAACACCAAGACAUCUGGCUGCUGGGAUACAGUCUAGGUUUGUCUUGUCCUGACUGCAAGCUGCUUUGGAACCCCCUGCUAUUUAGAUGGUUUCUGCUCCCCAUCCCUACACACUUAACUGUGCAGGGAAAUAUUUAGGUGGUGUUUGAGCACAGACCCCCAUGUUUUUCUUGUAUAUGUCCCUGCUU
rnacentral:lncRNA from 1 species